rnacentral:rRNA from 1 species
CAGUAGCCGCGGUAAUACGAAGGGGGCUAGCGUUGCUCGGAAUGACUGGGCGUAAAGGGCGCGUAGGCGGUCACGAUAGUCAGAUGUGAAAUUCCUGGGCUUAACCUGGGGACUGCAUUUGAUACUGUGUGGCUUGAGUGUGGAAGAGGGUCGUGGAAUUCCCAGUGUAGAGGUGAAAUUCGUAGAUAUUGGGAAGAACACCGGUGGCGAAGGCGACUCUCUGGUCUGUAACUGACGCUGAGGAGCGAAAGCGUGGGGAGCGAACAGGAUUAGAUACCCCCGUAGUCCCUGUCUCUUAUAC